AUUUUCUAAGAAAGAUUGGUAUGAUGUGAAAGCACCAGCUAUGUUCAAUAUAAGAAAUAUUGGAAAAACAUUAGUCACAAGAACUCAAGGAACCAAAAUCGCAUCUGAUGGCCUCAAGGGUCGUGUUUUUGAAGUGAGCCUUGCUGAUUUGCAGAAUGAUGAAGUUGCGUUU